CACACAGCUGACAGGUGGCGGAGCCAGGUGAGGAGACUGAGGCACAGGGAAAUGAAGUGACUUGUCCAAAGCCACACAGUUAACGAGUGGCGCAGCCAGAUGAGGGAACUGAGGCGCAGAGAAGUGAAGUGAC